ensembl:processed_transcript 5031434O11Rik RIKEN cDNA 5031434O11 gene
CCAGGCUCACGGUGGGAGGGUACACGUGUGUGCUGAGGGAGGGGAAGGGCCUGCCACAAGUGUCUUACCUCUCUCUGUCUUUGGGUUCAGAGGAGAAUGUCCUCUUGGAGGAGUGCGGUUAGCCCCGGUGUUAGGAGCAGCCUACCUGUGUCAAGAGCCUUUCCAUGUGCUGCUUUGAGAGUGUUUGGAACCGGCGCCCAUUCCCUGCCUCUACAGAAAUGGAUCUCGAAUGUGCCUAGAAGGAUCUGGGGCUGAGGCCGCCACUACUCCUAGCCCCUUGAUGAUUCAGGAAUGCCUCUACUGGCUGAGCACGCCCUCCGUCCCUCAGUGAUCCAGUCAGACAGGAAUUCAUCACUGAGCCACUACUCCGGACUCCCAGCUCCUAGCUCAUGUCCCUGCAGUGUAUCCAGUAAACUAAAUUUAGACCCUCGGGGACAACAGAGAAGGAGCCAUGUGGCCCAGAUCUCUGUCUUCGUGUGCGGUGGGCUAUAUGACAUGCUUGCCUUCUCCGAUCUGAAAACCUAGGCUAGAUUUGGGUCUAGUGAAACAACUUGGGGGUUGGGGAAAAGGCUACAAUCGGAAACUGCGCAUUUCUGUAACAAUAACUUCAGACAAAGUAAGAUGAAGAGGUUUGAAAAAUAAAUACAAUUGCCAUGAAA